GAAUAUUGGACAAUGGGGGGAACCCUGAUCCAGCCAUGCCGCGGGUGUGAAGAAGGCCUUUUGGUUGUAAAGCACUUUAAGCGAGGAGGAGGCUACUCUAGUUAAUACCUAGAGACAGUGGCCGUUACUCGCAGAAUAAGCACCGGCUAACUCUGUGCCAGCAGCCGCGGUAAUACAGAGGGUGAAAGCGGUAAUCGGAUUUACUGGGCGGAAAGCGCGAGUAGGUGGCCAAUUAAGUCAAAUGUGAAAUCCCCGAGCUUAACUUGGGAAUUGCAUUCGAUACUGGUUGGCUAGAGUAUGGGAGAGGAUGGUGGAAUUCCAGGUGUAGCGGUGAAAUGCGUAGAGAUCUGGAGGAAUACCGAUGGCGAAGGCAGCCAUCUGGCCUAAUACUGACACUGAGGUGCGAAAGCAUGGGGAGCAAACAG
rnacentral:rRNA from 1 species